ensembl:lncRNA
CUGCUGUGCUGUUUCCCAUCAGAUCUUGAGUCUGUGCUGAGGUCAGACACCAGAUCUAACGGCCCACCGACAUUCUAGGCUGACCUGACAGUGUGGAAGUUGCACAUUCUUUUUUAGAAUCACACCUCUCCCUUUCACACCCUUUCAUUUCCUCUGUGUUAAUCAGGCGACUGACAGAGCUGGAGAUAGUGACUAAUGAAAUGUCACCGUGACUCUGAUAGAGAUGCAGACCUGCAGAAAACAGAGAGGGUGAGAUGGACGAGGACCACAUCCACAGUAUGGUGGUCUCACCAUGGGCUAAUGUGUCCCGGCUUUGGAACAACCUCCCGACAUGAGGCCCUUGAUGGUGAUAGGCGAAUUAAGGUUGACAUUCAAUCGAUCUGUGCCUGGCCUGGCCCGCAGCGAAGGGAGAUAUUCGCACACUAGGAUUAUAACCCCUGCAACCCCCCGCAACCAAACAGCGAUUGACCUCCGAACGGAUGGAUGAACUACUUCCUAUUUCACAACCCACCUCCUCUCUCACAAUAACCUGAUGGCCACUCUUCAAAUGAUACUCUAGCUUUUUUCAGCAACUCUUUAUACUUUGUAGGCAGAGCUGAUCUUCCUAUACGCAAAAUGUGCAAGCUGAGUAGGGCCCCCGAAACACCAGGGAGCCCACUUGCUCUCAAAGAUGAUUUAAUUUUAGUUUUGUUUUUGAAUUUGGCCAGCGUUUAUGAAAACAUGAAUGCUCAUUUCUUGUAAUGCAGUGCGCUGCUGCCCUUUCUGCAUAAAAAUCAGUCAAAUUAUGUAACGUGAAUGUCGUACAGUCUUGCUCGAGACUAAAAAAUGAGUUGAAAGCGUACCGGGCCGCGGAAGAGACACUGUUUCUCAAGAGCUUUCCACAAACGCUGUUCGAGACAGAGUGAAACAAGGACAAAUGCGUUUCAUUCAUUCAUUCAUAACCAUUCAUAACCCCCCCCCCCCAACCCCCCAACACAGUUUUGCGUAAGGCCCCUAGAAGUCUAGGAUCGGCUCUGUUGGUAGGUCAUCUUGUAUAGACAUAACUGUGCUUGUUGCAUUUGACUUUACAUUUUCUUUUGAGACACAUAAAAUAGAAGAGUGUAGCUGAUUGGUAAUCUUAAUAGACAUAUGUACUCUGAAAUUUGGGCUGGUUGACACUGAAUCAAUAAAUUUCAUGCAGUGUACUGACAAUUAAAAUAUCUAGAAUAAUCUGCACUCCUCUUCUCGUCAUCCCUCUUGUUUGACAAUUGACUGACCUUGAUAAAGGAAAAACCAUGACUUACUGUAUACCAGUGAGAGUCUGACAAAACAUUUGUGAAAGCUGCAUUUUAAAUAUUUCUGACAAUCAAAUUUGUGAUUUUUAAUAAAAAAUACUUCUGUGUUUAGAUGUUUUGCAUUGUCAUUUAUAAUUCUUGAAAUUCCAGACCACAAAUGACGUGAGUCAAGCCUGUCUGAUUAUUGCUAUGGCUUUUUCAUGCAGAUAAUCUUCUUUAUAAAAGUAAAACUCUCCAGUCUUGGAUUUGAUCCUUCUCUGCCAUAUUCAGCAUUGUUGUGAAUAAGCCACAAAGGAAGCAAUGAGUCAGCAUGAGCAACUGCAUUGUGACAUCG